rnacentral:rRNA from 1 species
AAACAAACAGGGAUUGCCUCAGUAACGGCGAGUGAAGCGGCAAGAGCUCAACUUUGGAAUCGCUCCGGCGAGUUGUAGUCUGGAGGUGGCCACCACGAGGUGUUCUAGCAGCAGGCAAGUCCUUUGGAACAAGGCGCCAGCGAGGGUGACAGCCCCGUACCUGCUUUUGCUAGUGCUUCCUGUGGCCCACCGACGAGUCGAGUUGUUUGGGAAUGCAGCUCUAAGUGGGUGGUAAAUUCCAUCUAAGGCUAAAUAUUGGCGAGAGACCGAUAGCGAACAAGUACAGUGAUGGAAAGAUGAAAAGCACUUUGAAAAGAGAGUGAAACAGUACGUGAAAUUGUUGAAAGGGAAGGGCUUGCACCCAGACACGGUUUCGGCCGGGCCAGCAUCAAGUAGAACGGGGUUAAAAGACCUGGGGAAUGUAGCUACCUCUUGGUAGUGUUAUAGCCCUUGGGUGAUGACCCCUGUUUUGCUUGAGGACAGCGGUCUCUAGGAUGCUGGCGCAAUGGUUGCAAGCCACCCGUCUUGAAACACGGACCAAGGAGUCUAACGUCUAUGCGAGUGUACGGGUGAAAAACCCCUGCGCGGAAUGAAAGUAAGAGGUUGGAACCCUCUCGGGGGUGCACAAUCGACCGACCCAGAAGUGCU